GUUCUGAGAGUGAAUGCAUUGGGCACUUUAAGUUGAUAUUUUCUCUUCUCCGAGUUCAUGGAGCUGGUCAAGUGCAGCAGUUGGCUUUAGAGGUUGUGAAUAUAGUGACAUCUAACCAAGACUGUGUCAACAAUAUUGCUGAAUCAAUGGUUUUGUCCAGUUUAUUGGCUCUUCUACAUUCAUUGCCAUCAAGUAUGUAUACAGAUGGAAUUUUGGAAACCACAGCAAGAUUAGCCCAUGGAAAGGAGUUGUUGCAUAGUUGAUACAAAACCUCAAACAAAUGUCAUCUAUGUUUAGUUUUAAAGUGUUAUUUACACUAGAUUUGUCUUCCUAAUAAU
rnacentral:lncRNA from 10 species